rnacentral:rRNA from 1 species
CAUUUGCCUUAUAAUUGAAGGCUAGUAUGAAUGGUUUGACAAGAAUGUAGCUGUCUCUUUAUAAUUAAAUAGAAUUUUAUUUAUAGGUGAAGAAGCCUAUAUUAAAUUAAAAGACAAGAAGACCCUAUCGAGCUUGAAAGAAACUAGUAGAGUAAUAAUUAAUGAUAUCAAAAAAUUUACUAUUAGAAAUUUUAGUUGGGGCGACUAAGGAACAAAAAAAGCUUCCUUUAAAAACUAAAAACUAAACAAGUAUUGAUCCAAAACAUUUUGAUUAAAGGAAUUAGUUACCGUAGGGAUAACAGCAUUAUCUUUUUUAAGAGCUCUUAUCGAAAAAAAGGUUUGUGACCUCGAUGUUGGACCAGAAUAUCCUAAAGAUGCAGCAGUCUUUAAGGGUUGGUCUGUUCGACCAUUAAAAUUCU